CCUACGGGAGGCAGCAGUGAGGAAUAUUGGUCAAUGGACGAGAGUCUGAACCAGCCAAGUAGCGUGAAGGAUGACUGCCCUAUGGGUUGUAAACUUCUUUUAUAUGGGAAUAAAAUGUUCCACGUGUGGGAUUUUGUAUGUACCAUAUGAAUACGGAUCGGCUAACUCCGUGCCAGCAGCCGCGGUAAUACGGAGGAUCCGAGCGUUAUCCGGAUUUAUUGGGUUUAAAGGGAGCGUAGGUGGAUUGUUAAGUCAGUUGUGAAAGUAUGCGGCUCAACCGUAAAAUUGCAGUUGAUACUGGCAGUCUUGAGUACAGUAGAGGUGGGGGGAAUUCGUGGUGUAGCGGUGAAAUGCUUAGAUAUCACGAAGAACUCCGAUUGCGAAGGCAGUUCACUGGACUGCAACUGACACUGAGGCUCGAAAGUGUGGGUAUCAAACAGGAUUAGAUACCCCUGUAGUC
rnacentral:rRNA from 1 species